CAAGGCCUGUGUGAUCUCACUUCCAUCCACCUCCUCAAGGCUUUGAUUCAAACGCACUCAACAUCUAUUUGUCAGAUGCACAGAGCACUUGCCCACAGCAGGGCCUCACUGCUCCUUCUAUCUGGAGUACCUUCCGAUGGUUAGCUCUUUUCAUACUCAGCUAUCAGGUCAAAUGGCAGCUCCUCAGAACGCUUUCCCUGACCUUCCCAAGCCCCCAUCACAUCUGAGUAAGAAACUCCUCUGUCCCUCGUGGUGACUACCACAUUGCUCUGUUGAUUUUCUUUACACUCCUCAUUACACUGUGAAAUUAUCUUGUACACUCGUUUACCAGGUUUUGGCUGUUUCCCCCAAAUGGGGGUAAAUGUCACAAAAGAAGGGUGUUGCCAGUCAUGUUCAUCAUUGCCUAUCUUGCUCCUGGAACAGCAUGUGGGACAUACUGGUUGCCAAAUGUGAAAGGGAGGCAGGAGCAGAUGAUUUGUGUACAGAUCGCCCGGAGAGUGCUUCUACAGCGUACUGGAGGAUGCAGAAGCAAGGUAAAGGGAUGUGGGGACAGGCGGGGUUGUGUCUGUUGCUGUCAGCAGCUCUGGGCUCCCUCUCAGGAACUCUGUGGCACUCCAGGUACCUUCUCUGAUGUCUCUGUCAUCCAUGAUAGUCGUAUACUCCUGGCCUUCAGGGUGGAGGCUGUCACCGCCCUCUUUAUGAUUUUGAUCGCAAUUUACAUCUGGCCUGCCACCCUGAAUCUUUGGCAAACUUUCUUUUGAUGUGUGUGUAUGUGCACGUGCGUGUUUUCCCUGAGUGUGAAAAUUCGAGGGCAAAUUGAAUUUUGUCUUGAUAGUUGUCAAGUCACUGCAGAUUCAGACACUUCCCUCACUGCUGGCUUCUCUACAAAUCCAGCAGCUUCUGUCUUGGUGCCUGCCAACACCCAGUGAAGAGGCAAGUCCAGAGCCUCAGUGAGGAGGCUCAGCUCAAAGUUGAAAAGCACACUCCUGUUCUCUCUCCUGUUCUAUUUGUUACUGGCAAAGUCUUACUUACUGGGGUGGUAACAGAAAGUUGCUGCCUGGAGACUGACAGGCUUGAAUGCUGGUUCUGCUGCCUGAUAGCUGUGUGGCUUUGAGAAAGCGAUGUGAACCUUCCUGACCCUCAGAUCUCCCUCCUACUUUUUUUUUUUUUUUUUUUUUUUUUUUGAGACGGAGUCUCGCUGUCUCCUAGGCUGGAGUGCAGUGGCACGAUCUCGGCUCCCUGAAAGCUCCACCUCCCAGGUUCA
rnacentral:lncRNA from 1 species